UACGGGGGGAGCAAACGUUGUUCGGAAUCACUGGGCGUAAAGGGCGUGUAGGCGGCUGAAUAAGUGGGAUGUUAAAUCCCCGGGCUCAACCCGGGACCUGCAUCUCAUACUGUUCAGCUCGAGCACAUCAGAGGAGACUGGAAUUCCCGGUGUAGCGGUGAAAUGCGUAGAUAUCCGUAGGAACAUCCGAGGCGAAGGCGGCUCGCUGGAUCACAACUGACGCUGAGGGACGAAAGCUAGGGGAGCAAACAGG
rnacentral:rRNA from 1 species